GACGAACGCUGGCGGCGUGCCUAAUACAUGCAAGUAGAACGCUGAAGAGAGGAGCUUGCUCUUCUUGGAUGAGUUGCGAACGGGUGAGUAACGCGUAGGUAACCUGCCUUGUAGCGGGGGAUAACUAUUGGAAACGAUAGCUAAUACCGCAUAACAAUAGGUGACACAUGUCAUUUAUUUGAAAGGGGCAAUUGCUCCACUACAAGAUGGACCUGCGUUGUAUUAGCUAGUAGGUGAGGUAACGGCUCACCUAGGCGACGAUACAUAGCCGACCUGAGAGGGUGAUCGGCCACACUGGGACUGAGGCACGGCCCAGACUCCUACGGGAGGCAGCAGUAGGGAAUCUUCGGCAAUGGGGGCAACCCUGACCGAGCAACGCCGCGUGAGUGAAGAAGGUUUUCGGAUCGUAAAGCUCUGUUGUAAGUCAAGAACGAGUGUGAGAGUGGAAAGUUCACACUGUGACGGUAGCUUACCAGAAAGGGACGGCUAACUACGUG
rnacentral:rRNA from 1 species